CUCCUACGGGACGCAGCAGUGGGGGAUAUUGCACAAUGGGGGGAACCCUGAUGCAGCGACGCCGCGUGGGUGAAGGAGCGUUUCGGCGCGUAAAGCCCUAUCGGCAGGGAAGAAGAUGACGGUACCUGACCAAAAAGCCCCGGCUAACUACGUGCCAGCAGCCGCGGUAAUACGUAGGGGGCAAGCGUUAUCCGGAUUUACUGGGUGUAAAGGGAGCGUAGACGGCGAUGCAAGUCUGAAGUGAAAGGCGGGGGCCCAACCCCCGGCCUGCUUUGGA
rnacentral:rRNA from 1 species